rnacentral:rRNA from 1 species
UACGUAGGGGGCAAGCGUUGUCCGGAAUCAUUGGGCGUAAAGCGCGUGUAGGCGGCUCAAUAAGUCCGCUCUGAAAGCCCGGGGCUUAACCCCGGGAGGCGGGUGGAUACUGCUGAGCUUGAGUCCGGAAGAGGCGAGUGGAAUUCCCGGUGUAGCGGUGAAAUGCGCAGAUAUCGGGAGGAACACCAAUGGCGAAGGCAGCUCGCUGGGACGUGACUGACGCUGAGACGCGAAAGCGUGGGGAGCAAACAGG